rnacentral:misc_RNA from 1 species
UCCGAGUUGACCCCGGCAGUCUCCCAUGAGUCCCCAGCCACACGAAGGUGCUGUUAGCAACACGGGGCGGGGGUUGCGCUCGUUGCGGGACUUAACCCAACAUCUCACGACACGAGCUGACGACAGCCAUGCAGCACCUGUGCUGGAGAUCCGAAGAGGGGCCGAUGUUUCCACCGGCUUUCCCCAGCAUGUCAAGCCUAGGUAAGGUUCUGCGCGUUGCGUCGAAUUAAACCACAUGCUCCACCGUUUGUGCGGGCUCCCGUCAAUUCCUUUGAGUUUCAGCCUUGCGGCCGUACUCCCCAGGCGGGGCACUUCAUGCGUUAGCGCCGGUACUCCAAGGGUCGCUCCCCGGAGCACCUAGUGCCCAUCGUUUACGGCGUGGACUAC